rnacentral:rRNA from 1 species
UACGAAGGGGGCUAGCGUUGCUCGGAAUCACUGGGCGUAAAGGGCGCGUAGGCGGCGUUUUAAGUCGGGGGGUGAAAGCCUGUGGCUCAACCACAGAAUGGCCUUCGAUACUGGGACGCUUGAGUAUGGUAGAGGUUGGUGGAACUGCGAGUGUAGAGGUGAAAUUCGUAGAUAUUCGCAAGAACACCGGUGGCGAAGGCGGCCAACUGGACCAUUACUGACGCUGAGGCGCGAAAGCGUGGGGAGCAAACAGG